rfam:Canis lupus familiaris chromosome 19, whole genome shotgun sequence.
AGGCACAACAGCCCUAGUGGCGGGGCCAGCUCUGGAGCCCUGGAGUCAGCCCCCGCAGUAGCUCCGGGGCUCUCCGUCUGCAGGGCCUGGAGGCUCCGGGCCGGG